rnacentral:rRNA from 1 species
AGUGAACGCUGGCGGUAGGCCUAACACAUGCAAGUCGAACGGCAGCACAGUAAGAGCUUGCUCUUACGGGUGGCGAGUGGCGGACGGGUGAGGAAUACAUCGGAAUCUACUUUUUCGUGGGGGAUAACGUAGGGAAACUUACGCUAAUACCGCAUACGACCUACGGGUGAAAGCAGGGGAUCUUCGGACCUUGCGCGAUUGAAUGAGCCGAUGUCGGAUUAGCUAGUUGGCGGGGUAAAGGCCCACCAAGGCGACGCUCCGUAGCUGGUCUGAGAGGAUGAUCAGCCACACUGGAGCUGAGACACGGUCCAGACUCCUACGGGAGGCAGCAGUGGGGAAUAUUGGACAAUGGGCGCAAGCCUGAUCCAGCCAUACCGCGUGGGUGAAGAAGGCCUUCGGGUUGUAAAGCCCUUUUGUUGGGAAAGAAAAGCAGCAGGUUAAUACCCCGCUGUUCUGACGGUACCCAAAGAAUAAGCACCGGCUAACUUCGUG